CGAUAGUAGAGGGGCAUUAUGUUUUCUGGUCUGUGCUUCCGUUCGUGCGUUUGUUCGUUCGUUCGUCCGUCCGUUCGUUCAUCUGUGCGUCCGUUCAGGUUAAAGUUUUUGGUCAAGGUAGUUUUUGAUCCAAUCAACUUGAAACUUAGUACACUUGUUGCUAAUGAUAUGAUCUUUCCAAUUUUAAAGCCAAAUUAGACUUUUGACUCCAAUUUCACAGUCCACUGAACAUAGAAAAUGAAGGUGGGAGUUUCAGGUUAAAGUCUUUGGUCAAGGUAGUUUUUGAUGAAGCUGAAGUCCAAUCAACUUGAAACUUAGUACACUUGUUGCUUAUGAUAUGAUCUUUCUAAUUUUAAAGCCAAAUUAGACUUUUGACCCCAAUUUCACGGUUCACUAAACAUAGAAAAUGAAAGUGGAAGUUUCAGGUUAAAGUUUUUGGUCAAGGUAGUUUUUGAUGAAAUUGAAGUCCAGUUAACUUGAAACUUAGUACAUAUGUUCCCUAUAGUAUAUUCUUUCUAAUUUUAAUGCCAAAUUAGAUUAUUACCCAAUUUUUUCAGUACAUGGAACAUGGAAAACGAUAGUGCGAGUGGGGC
rnacentral:lncRNA from 1 species